AUAUCAAUAAGCGGAGGAAAAGAAACUAACAAGGAUUCCCCUAGUAACGGCGAGUGAAGCGGGAUGAGCUCAAAUUUAAAAUCUGGCGGCCUCAGGUCGUCCGAGUUGUAGUCUAGAGAAUCGUUUUCCGCGUUGGCCUGUGUACAAGUCCCUUGGAACAGGGCGUCAUAGAGGGUGAGAAUCCCGUCCUUGACACAGACUACCAAUGCUUUGUGAUGCGAUCUCGAAGAGUCGAGUUGUUUGGGAAUGCAGCUCAAAAUGGGUGGUAAAUUCCAUCUAAAGCUAAAUAUUGGCGAGAGACCGAUAGCGAACAAGUACCGUGAGGGAAAGAUGAAAAGCACUUUGGAAAGAGAGUUAAACAGUACGUGAAAUUGUUAAAAGGGAAACGAUUGAAGUCAGUCAUGCUUUCCGAGACUCAGCCGAUUCUGUCGGUGUACUUCUCGGUUGGCAGGCCAGCAUCAGUUUCGAUCUGUGGAAAAGGUUGGAGGGAACGUGGCAUCCUCGGAUGUGUUAUAGCCCUUCUUCGAAUACAUAGAGCGGGACUGAGGAACGCAGCGCGCCUUUUAUUAGGUUGGCCCUCGGGUACAUACGCGCUUAGGAUGCUGGCAUAAUGGCUUUAAACGACCC
rnacentral:rRNA from 1 species